rnacentral:lncRNA from 1 species
AUUACAAGCCAUGAUCACAAGCUAGAAUCUUGUCUAGGAGAUUACAAUUGCAAUCAUAGCCAUUGAGGGACUUUUGUUAAAAUGUGAGGAAUCAUAACUAGGUAUUUGUCUAGUUAGCAUUUUCAAUGGAUGAGCUCAAAAGGGAGAACAGGUGCCAUUGAUGCAGAUUUGCAGUCAAAAUCAGUGGGAUUGAUGAGCCCUUUUUGGUUCUGGAAGGGGCAAGAUUCUCCCUAAUUGUUCUUAAUUAUGUUGUAGGGCAGAUUGAUGCAUUCAUAAAUAAUAGGGCUAAUUGGAAUCUAUUAGCAGAAAUGAUUAGGGCUUAUAAUAAUGUUCUUUCUUUGAUUGGUUAUCAGUGAAAAAACUAUGAUACACAUUAUGUGUACUGCAAAAAUAUUAUAAUUAUGAUUUUUUGCGUAGUUAUGAACAAUUGUGU